rnacentral:lncRNA from 1 species
CACAACUUCCUUGCAGACUGUGACCAUGUGCUGUGCUCAGUGUUAAGCUUUGAAGUCUGGAUUUAGUUUGAAGCUGGGUGAAGUCAGGUCCUGUAUUUGUGCCUUGGUGAUUCCUGCUCCCAGCUUUUAAGCUUCUAUCUGACUGUAGGCUGAGCUGGGUGUAAGGAGCUUUUCUGCAGCCAACAUCUCACGGAGGGAUCUAGAAAAGACAGCCUGGAUACAAUCCCAAAUGUACUCGGACAUCAGGUUCUGCAAGGUUUAUCAGACAGACCAUCACUUCCUGCAUCCCAGGGUUAUAAGGACAAGUUCAACUUGCAUCAUCCUUCUCCAUUUCCUCAGCUGGCAUUCAACUUCCAGUUGGAUGCAUCAUGAGAUUGCUCAGAGUGUUUCCAGCGUGGACAGUGUGAUGCCUCCAAAGAUAAAGACAAAACCAUCCCUGCCACAGACACAUCCCGUGCUCUGAGCCACUGCUGGCAGCACAGCCUCAAAAAACAGCAGAGGAUUCCAGAGCCCUGGGGUUAGGACACAUCCCAGUCCUUCCUGAGGUGCCCACUGAUGUUUUUCCUCAGUACCACACUCUGCAAAGGUUUAGCUCAAAGUAAAGUUUGGGGAAGAAAUGAGAAAACUGGUGAGAACAGUUUUUUAAAAAGCAGAUUAACCUCAGAUCCUCAGCUACCUUUUAUUUACCAAACAGAAGAAGUUUCUCUGUGUGAUACAUUUUCUCAAAUUAUAGGUUUCCCAUUUCCUGGCAUCCCAAUAAAGUCUGGAUGAAUGAUGAGAGAGUCUGCUGG